rnacentral:rRNA from 1 species
UACGGAGGGUGCGAGCGUUGUCCGGAAUCAUUGGGCGUAAAGGGCGCGUAGGUGGCCCGGUCAGUUCGUGGUGAAAGCGCGGGGCUCAACCCUGCGUCGGCCAUGAAUACUGCCGCGGCUGGAGCACUGUAGAGGCAGGCGGAAUUCCGGGUGUAGCGGUGGAAUGCGUAGAGAUCCAGAAGAACACCGGUGGCGAAGGCGGCCUGCUGGGCAGUUGCUGACACUGAGGCGCGACAGCGUGGGGAGCAAACAGG